rnacentral:rRNA from 1 species
UACAGAGGUCCCAAGCGUUGUUCGGAUUUACUGGGCGUAAAGGGUGCGUAGGUGGUUGGGUAAGUUUGAUGUGGAAUCUCCGGGCUUAACCCGGAAAUGGCAUUGAAUACUAUUCGGCUAGAGGUUUGGAGGGGGGACUGGAAUUCUUGGUGUAGCAGUGAAAUGCGUAGAUAUCGGGAGGAACACCAGUGGCGAAGGCGACUACCUGGCCUGUUCUUGACGCUGAGGCGCGACAGCGUGGGGAGCAAACAGG